rnacentral:rRNA from 1 species
UACGGAGGGAGCUAGCGUUGUUCGGAAUUACUGGGCGUAAAGCGCACGUAGGCGGCGAUUCAAGUCAGAGGUGAAAGCCCGGGGCUCAACCCCGGAACUGCCUUUGAAACUAGAUUGCUAGAAUCUUGGAGAGGUCAGUGGAAUUCCGAGUGUAGAGGUAGAAAUUCGUAGAUAUUCGGAAGAACACCAGUGGCGAAGGCGACUGACUGGACAAGUAUUGACGCUGAGGUGCGAAAGCGUGGGGAGCAACAGG